GGAAGGUUGUCCGAGUUGGUUUAAGGUAGUUGUUUGCUAAACAACCGGGUAAUAUGCCCCACAGGUUCGAAUCCCUCUGGCUCCACUA
rnacentral:tRNA from 1 species